GACGAACGCUGGCGGCGUGCCUAACACAUGCAAGUCGAACGGAGUUGCCCUUCGGGACAACUUAGUGGCGAACGGGUGAGUAACGCGUGAGGAACCUGCCUUUCAGUGGGGGACAACAGUUGGAAACGACUGCUAAUACCGCAUAAUGUAUUUUGGGGCAUCCCCUGGAUACCAAAGCUUUAUGUGCUGAAAGAUGGCCUCGCGUCUGAUUGGGUAGUUGGUGAGGUAACGGCUCACCAAGUCUGCGAUCAGUAGCCGGUCUGAGAGGAUGAACGGCCACAUUGGGACUGAGAUACGGCCCAG
rnacentral:rRNA from 1 species